GGCACCGUGGCCUAAUGGUAAGGCGUUGCUUUCCGGUGGCAAAGAUUGUGGGUUCGAGUCCCAUCGGUGUCG